UACGAGGGGGGCAAGCGUUGUUCGGAUUUAUUGGGCGUAAAGGGUGCGUAGGCGGUCUGGCAAGUCUUGUGUGAAAUCUUUGGGCUCAACCCAAAGCCUGCACGAGAAACUGCCGGGCUUGAGUAUGGGAGAGGUGAGUGGAAUUUCCGGUGUAGCGGUGAAAUGCGUAGAUAUCGGGAAGGAACACCUGUGGCGAAAGCGGCUCACUGGACCAUAACUGACGGCUGAGGCACGAAAGCUAGGGGAGCAAACAGG
rnacentral:rRNA from 1 species